CUUCACUCUGUUAUCAAUUAGAAAUGUUUUACAGCUCAAGUACAAGAUCAGUCAACCAAGAGACUUGGUAAAUAUGUUAUUUAUACAGUUAUUUGUUAAAAUGAGCUUCAUUGCAUUACAGAAUGUUAAGACAAAUUGUUGUGCCCUUUAGAUUCAUUAUAGAUGACAAAAUACUAGAUAAAUCUUAAACAGGUGUUCACCUUUCAUCACACAGGAACAUAAAUGGUUAGAUCUUAUCAACAGGGGAGUCUUUUUAAUCUUCUUUCUUUAUUAAGCACGGGGGAAAAAAAGAUUGCUUAUUUUUCCUUCCUUUGUCUUUAAAAAGUCCUGUAGUCAUAGGGGAGAGGAGACUGGGGUUGCUAAAGCACAUCCCAUUUCAUAUAAGGCUCAAAUCAAUCUCUACUGAAGGAAAGCCUAACUAGCUUUACCAAUUCUGGCCUGCCAGGUACUAUCUCACAGAGAGCCAUUAGUAAAGUGUCAAAGGCUGUUUUUUACAACAGUACUUUAUUGUUCACGAGCAAGGAGUGCAUUAGCUUAUCAUCUGGUCUUGUAACUUCUUGCUUCACUGUGUUGCUACAGACAAAAAAAAAAAAAAGAUAGGACAUAAAUGUCAUCUUCUGUGUCAUUAACACAAAAUCUAUUAGAAUUUUAUUAGAAAAUAACUACUAAGACAGUACAGCUACAUUUACUCCCUUACACUGUGCUAAAUUGCUUGUGAAAAUGAUAUAUUAUGAUUCUUACACAGCAACCAUUGAAAAACAUGGAAGACAAGCCCACAUACUGUGUACAUUAAAGUGAUAAUGUUAAAUAGGAAAUGAAGCAAUGCACAUCUCCCUAAAUCUCCAAGCAGGUUCUACAGAUACUGAUAAAUAAAUUGUUUCCACCUGCAACUAAGAAAAUUAUUCUAAUAUGUUCCUUGAUGUUCCUUGUUGAUAUAACCAAGUCAGUUCUUCACCUUUUUUUUAAAAAGGGACAUGUUUUUAGUGUAUAAUCACCAAUAAAAAGAACGUGCUGCUUUAUUUCUCUGCUUGGGGCAGUCAGGUCCCUCAUUAUUAAAAGUCAGAAAAGUCUGCAGAGAUAAAAUACAUUUCUGAGCCAAGAAUUUAGAGGCUGUGAAAUGUUAUUAACGUAUCUGCAAAAGAGGAAAAGUCUCAGUUCACGAGGGUUUUCAGAAUGUUCAUACUGGAAAGGAAAAGUUAGGAGGGAUUCAAUUUAUCCCUGUGUAACUGGUCAGAGCAAGGUUAAAUAAAAAGGUAAGUUAUGAAUGGACUUUGGGCUAUCUCCUUAGGGUCAGCUGUACCCUGAACGCAGCACACACACAAUCUGCAGGGGAAGGAUCCAAAAAGCCAAAAAAUAUGCAUCAGCAAGUAGCAGGCUGAAGCCCCUCUAGGGAGCUCUUCACCCAAAUGUAAACUUGGCAACACCUUAUAAGAUGAAAAAAAAACAAAGUUUUGCCCUUCAGGAUGUCUGUCACAAGCCUGAAGAUUCAACUCUGCAGAUAUCCAUAGAGGACAAUGGGCAAGAGGACCAGAGCAGUUCAAGGCAUGGCUAGCAGGUCUCCCUCCUGUACCUUGAAAUUACUCUCUUCUCUCAGCAGGACCCAGUUAGCCUCCGUAAAGAGCCCAUUUCUAAUUCCCCUGCUCCCAUGGCAGCUGAUGGUGAUGAUAGUCCUUGAAGCUUUCAAUGUGCAUGAAGGAGCACAGGGAGAAAUUAAAGCUCUUUAGGCUGGAACUGCAACUGCAGAAUAUAAUCAAAUCAUCCAACUCUGACAGUUUUUUUCCAGCCUUCAGAGACUCAAGCGAGUGCAGCAGGAUGCAGAUUUCAGAAAUGAAAAUGUCUGCAGGUGGGAGCUAAGCCGGCACAUUUUCAACCCUGUCCUGGCUGGGACAAAUUUCUUUUAGUUUUUGUCCCACUUUGGGCCAGUAAUAGGUUGUGAUUAGGUUCAGCACUCCUUUAAGCAUUUAAUAUUGCAAGAUACUGUAUUUAAAAACAGGAACUGAACAGGACAAAGACAAAAAUUUGGAGUCCUUUUUUUUUGUUCCUCCAGCAGCACAGAAAUCCUUCUUAUUGCAGCAUAGAACCAUAGGAACAGUCCUUGUACUCCUCACCUCUGUCUUGAGAGGAUGGAAAGAAACUUCUAUAUUGGGCAGGUGCUGCUGUGUUAUGGAAGCUGAACAGAAGAGAAAGGAAAAAAGUAAGCCUAUUGUAUACUCACAUCCUAGAUGUGAGUAUAGAUGGAAAGAAGAAAUGGAAAGAAGCUCAUACACACUUACACAGUGAUGCACCUCACAGUGGCUUCAAGAACGCAAAAGACAAAGAAAGAGCUCUGCUUUAAAAGCAAUGCAUUGAUCUCUAUGACAGGAGAAACAAGACUGAAAAAAGUAUCACUAACAGAGCAGAAAAAACACCAGAAUUUACAAGGACACACUUGCAUACGAUAAGCAACAAAGCCUGGUAUCAUGAUGCAGAUGAGGGCUUCUUUUGUGCACACUGAGUAAAGGCCAGGGCUAAAGGGAGCAUUAGGGGCAGAAAAGACUCUAUGUGAUGUUAAUCGUGGAAUCAUGUGAUCUUAUAUAUAUGAGAACAACCCAACCUAAGAAACAGACAGCCCCAUGCUGAAUAGCUCCUCAGUCAAGAUGUCACUUUACAAUCAACUUAGUAUUCUGAGGUGAUAAAUUUUUGCUAGUUCAAUCCAAAAAAAAUGUAUACCUUUUAUUUCAGAGUGAUAGCUCAGUAUCUGCUCACAUCCCAGGAAAAGAAAGGGCUUUGAACCAGUUAUCUGCUCAGAAUUAGUGCCUGGUAAAGCUAUCUGAUUUUGAAAGCAUGGGAGAACAAAACACGUGACAAAUGUUCCAUACUUAUAAAUCAUACCUGAUUUUCUUUGUCCAGAGCCAAAUAUAAAUAAAUAAAUAAAUGCAUGGAGCUUUAAAAAAGUUCUUGUAUUCCUGUCAUUGUCAGAAAUACUGUUUGUGAGCACCCUUCAUCAGAGAGUAGCUCUUCAAAGGACAUUUCAUCUCUGCAUACACACACUUCAUAUUCUGCUGCCAAAGCAAUGUCAGGUUGGGUCAUAUGCCUUCAAGGCAACUUUAACUUGGGCGCCUUUCUUCAAAAGACAUUAAAAAUGAUUUACAUUUUUCUUCCCUAAAUCAGCAUUUUUGGUAUCAUUUGUGUAAGCGCCAAGUUCCCCUCAUUUUUCACCUCUAUCACGGCCUGUCUUUCUCUUCCCCUGUGUGCUCCUGAAUACUGUUUGUGUGCCAAGAAGCCUGUAUUGAUGAAUGCAAAGAUUGUUCUGUUCAGGAAAGGAAACUAUACUGUACAGCCUUCUAUGUAACCUACACUAAAAUUCCAUCUAGAAGUGGAUUAAAUCUUUCAUGCAUAGGAGUCAUGUUUUCUGUAUGAGAUACUUUACCAGUGGCAGCACAUACCCCAGAUUUGGACUUCAGCCAUCUUUUUCUCAUUAUAUCUCUUAAAUCCUAUUAUGCAGUUUAAGACAGGAUGACACAAAAUGGCACACUGUGAUAUCUAUCCUGCCAACAGACAGCUAGAACUUCACUCUUCUUGGAUUUUCUGAGUUUGAACACUCAGGUACUGUAGUGAUUAUUUCAAAAUUUCUACUUUAAAGCUGAUGGAUUAAAUUUUACCACCCUUGUGACUCUUCCAUCAAAGUAAAUUAUUAAACAAUUUAGCUAGCUUGAUUGAGGGCUAUUGGUUUGUUUUUGAGAUGUUUUUUUUCAAAAAAUGUAUUUAAUUUACCAUGCAUUAAAGUGUGCAGUAGAAAUAACAGUACAAUUUCAGAAGAAAUUAUGCAGGGAACAGGCAAGAACUGCACAUUAUUCAUAUCUCACAGAACUUGAUAAUAAGUUAUUAUUCCAUACUCUCAGAGGGACUGACUGAGCCAUGAGAAGUGAUUGCUGAGAUAUUCCAAUGUUUCUGUGGGCACAAUGAUGUGAGUGUUUCAAAUAUGGCUCAGUAAACCAUCUUUGCUUAUGUCACUGUCAAGCACACAACAUGAGGGCACUGAAGUCCUUUCAGACAUUAAUGACUCACACUCUUUAAAUAUGUCACAUGCCCGGACAAAUCUGCCUUUCCAUAGAAGGCACCAAAUACCAUUAGAUGAGGCAGAUGUUCCUAGCCAGUCUAAGAAUGACUGCAAAAUGACCCUCAUCUAUUUUGGAGUUAGCAAAUCAUCUAAGGCCAAUGAGACCUGGGGCAAGAGAUUCAAAGAAGUCAUUAUAUAAUGAUCAGCUUUCUAAUCCAAACAAGGCAAAAAAUGCAGGAGGAUCUAGGCUGACCUAGUGGAAAGAUGAACUGCUGAGAGCUGGGGCAGGUUACUGCCCCACCACCUCUGAAUGGAGAGAACAUGAUGAUCAUGAUAGCCAUCAACCAGCUAGAAACUAGCAGACAAGAUAAUGAAUCAGGUCCAUCCAGUAAGACCCUUUGCAAACAGUAGCAGACAGGAGCAAGGACCAAACUGUGGAGAUGGGUCUGAGGUCUAUCCAGAAAGUCCCAUCAGGAAGCCAAGACAGAAGGAAUCAAAGCUAUCCCAGCAUGUCUCAGGCAGAACUGAAGACCUGUGCUGAAAUGGGCUUUUCAUGCACAGGUGCAGGAGCAGUGGCAGAACAGAAGCCUUUGGGUGCCUUCAGUGCCCUUCCCCUUUAGAAGGACAGUAAAUACCGAGUUUAGUCAUUCUGCUUCUAGGAUAUUUUCUUAGUGUACGUAGACCAAAACACAAGUAGUCACAAACAUCUGGAGUACCUUCAGUCAGUCACAUACCAGCAAUCACAUAAAAUCACAUAUCAGAUAUCAACCACAGUUUCAAGAAAGUGAUUAACACAAAGAAUAAGUUCACUCACUGUUUGCGGUUUUGUUGCAACAAAAUCCUAGAACCACAAAACUCAACAGUACAGUAUUUUACUGAAGAUAACUUGUAACUCACUAAGAAACUAUGCCAGUGCCUUAAUCACCUGAACACUGCUAAUGUCAAAAUUAAAGAGUGAUAUAUAGAGGCUGUUUUAUUCUCAAGUAUUUUUUUCAGUAACAUCAGGAGCUUUACAUAUGAAGUAUGUUCUGAAACAAGAUUAUUAAUGAGUUAAGCUAUCUGAAAAAAAAAAUAUAUAUAUAUCUAUUAGAAAUGUGGACUAUGUCAAGCCCCUUACUGUAAUCAUGGAUGAAAUAACUUCUAUAGCUAGGAGAGCAAUUGUAUCAGAUCACUGCACAGAAAACACUAUCCUUAUGGAGUGUUCAAGUGCUAAGAACCACUCAACGUACAGCCCCUUUUCUGCUUGGGUGCCAUCACUGAGUGCUUUAUAUUGUGCUGUCAAGACUUCCACAUUCAAAGCCUAAAAAUAAGAUGAUAGUGUCUGCUCCACACCAGGGAAGUGUCUAAAUGUGUCUUUCAAUCCCUAUGUUUAGGCAUAUUGAUUUUCAGAAUGUAUUAUUCACCUAUCUUACCAAAUGCUAAACACAAAUAGCUCUAUGCCAUCAAUAGAGAGCAACGUGUUUUGAUAUGUCAUAAAUCCUGCUGUCUGUGAAAGUUUUAUUUUAUCAUAAUCCCUUACCAGUUGUGGUGUAUAUGAUAGCAGCUUCAGACAAAGGCAAAAUGAGCAAUUGCCUUGUGCAAUCGACCUCUGAAGAGUGCAGAUUUCCCAUGAGUUCACAGCCAAGGGCUGAUGCUGCCACCAGGACAGUGCUGCUCAGGGUAGGCAACCCCAUUGCAGUGAUUGUUGCCUCAGGCCUGAGUCUCCACCUGGUUCCUCACCAUGCUGUCUCCAUGCCCUCUGCAGAAGCAGCUACUCUUCUCAGGCGAGAGGACAAAUCCUAUUUUUGAGAAAUCUGCAGUGGGUUCCUGGAGCAGCAGACAAAAACCACAGCACUGAACUUGGUGGAAAUUUAGUGAUACAAAAGCAGUCUUCAGUGAAACCUUGUUGCAUGGAGCUGUAGCCUCAGCAAUAUCUGACUUAGCAAAUUUCUUUACAAGACAAGUCAGCUCAAAAAUGGCAAAACUGCUCUUUCUGCACUGUUUACCUGAAAGAGAGUAGGGAAUAAAUGAAGCAUACACAUGCAUGUGCACAACUUUUGUAUAUUGGGAAAGUUACUUGUCCUUCACUUUCUCAUUUAUUAAGCUCUUAUUAUGACAGGCUCUUGCACACAUGCUUGGACAGUUUUUAGAGGUAUCAUCAAUCUAAGUGCAGUUGAGCUGCUCUCUCACUCUCCAGUUCAGACUGUAUCUGAACAGUUUCUUUUAAUAAAUGUGUGAUACGGCUGUGUGUUAUCAACCUACUGUAACAUUUAAUAGAUAUUUAUAUAUUAUAUAGAGGAUUUAGUCUGGCAAGGUGUGAAGAAGACUCAGCUCUUCUUGAAGUCACAGAGUGCAGAAAGGUUGAGACUUUUGUCCUCCUGGGUACUGUGUUACUUGUGCAACCUGGUGUAGGGAACCUGUGUUGGCAGGGGGGUUGGUCUCGAUGAUCUCUAGAGGUCCCUUCCAACCCCUACAAUUUUGUGAAUUCUGUGAUUCUGUGAAUCCAGAUCUUCUUUUUGGACAUUAAAAAGUCAAGCAGUUUUCUGAAGAAAUACGUGUGCUGUACUGUUGGUUUGUUUUGCCAAUUCCCUCUUCCUAGUGGUCAGCAAAAUUUGCUUUUUCUUUUAAACGCCAAACUUAUCUCAAUAACAAAACCUGCCUCUAAAGAACUUGCUGCAUUUUCUCAGGUUGCUCUGAAUAAAAGUAGCACUGCUUGGCAUAUAAACACCCAUACAGAAAAUAAAAAUGUUGAUGUUCCUUCCCAGACACAAAGUCGGAAAAACUUUGUGAGCUCAAAAUUAACAAAGUACAUAAGAACAAUAGCACAGCCUCCUAAAAUUUACUGGCCUAUUAAACUGAAAUAUGGAGUUACAAUUAAGAUUAAUGGGAGCCAACUAGAAUGAAUUUCAAUCAGUUUUAUUUUGAAAGUAUGUGGGCUCCUUUUCAUCAUUUAUGUGAAAUAAUCAAAUCUAAUCUCAUUAUUGUUGUUUCUUCCCUAUCACAUCAAAUAUAAAGUAUGCACAAAGAAAAGAACAAUGUGUUCACAAGCACAGUGUACUCUUUUUGACUUCUCACAAAAGUACACACUAAAGAAAAUACUCCUCUAUGCAAAUAUUUGAAUAAAAAGUAUCAUAGAACAUAAAACAUAAAUUAGUCUCUAUUAUGUUAUUAAAAAUUAUUAGGCCACUUCUUUAAUAUGGAAUUUAAAGAGUAAUGCUCAAAUUCACAACAUAUAAUGAAGAAAGGGGGGAAAGGGAAAACAAAGAGGAUUGUAAGAAAGUAUUGUUUUAAUUUCUGUUUACAGAACAGGAAGGUGACAUAGCUGAAACACACAUAAUUUUGUUCACUAAGCCAACCCAAUUUGUGAAACCUGCUUACACAUAUGCACCUGAGUUGGGGCAAUCCCAGACAUGAAUAGAGGCUGUCAAAGAGUGGAUAGAGAGCAGCCCUGAGAAGAAGGAUUUAAGGAUACUGGUGGCUGAAAAUUUCAACAUGAGCUUAGCUGCAUCAAAAGAGGAGUGGCCAGUAGGACAGGGGAGGUGAGUGUCCUGCUCUGCCUUGCUCUCAUGAGAUCUCACCUGGAUAUCUGCACAGUGUUCAGCUCUCUGUCCCCCAGCAUGUAGACCUGUUGGAACAGACCUAGAGGAUAGCUGCAAAAAUAAUCAGAGGGCUGCAACAUCUCUCCAAUAAAAUAAAAAAAAAAAAGACUGAGACUUCAACCCAGAGAAGGCUCCAAGGAGACCGUAUAGCAGUUUGCCAGUACUUAAGGACAGCCUACAACAAAGAUGGAAAAAAAAACCUCUUUAUCAUGGAGUAGAGAGGUAGAGAACAAGGAGUAAUGGUUUUAAAAUAAAAGAGAGUAGACUUACAUUAGAUAUAUGAAAAUAUUCACUGUGAAGGUGGUGAGGCAUAGAGGCAGGUUGCCCAGAAAUGUUGUGGAUUUCUCAUUUUUGAGAGUAUUCAAGGUCAGGUUGAAUGGAGCCCCAGGCAACCCAGACUAGAGGAAGGUAUCCCUGCCACAGUAGGGGUUUGGAACCAAGCGAUCUGUAAGAACACUUCUUCCAACUCAAAAUUUCUAUGAUUCUAUAUUUAUACUCUACCUGGUGUUCAGUUACAUCUUGACAUCAAGUAGUGCUGUUGGAUAAUUCAUUAAAGAUUAUAAAAGAUGUUACCAAAAUUCUAUACAAGAGAUGAUGUUCCUUUCUCCAGCUGUCAGUUUAAUAAAAAUAAUAAAAGGUUUUAAUCAAUUCAAUCGGCUACUCAAUGUUUCCUUCAACAAGAGGCAUCCUGCACAUGACAGGUUCAUGGGAGAAAAGAUGACAAAGUCCCUGCGUGGGGAGAGAACAGGAUCCCUGUAAUAGGACACAUCUUCCUAAAAGCAACCCUUCCCUAGACCAUGAAGUGGGAGUCUAGCAGCAAGUGGAAGUUCUCCAGUUCUGAGUGAGAUGAGGUAAGAAGAAGAAAUAGGGGUAGUAUAGCUGUAGAAAGCAGGGGGAAAAAAAAAACAACAAAAACAGAUGGAGCCAGUAGGCUCUAGGGCUGUUGAUAUUGGUGUAUAAUUGCAACUGGCAAUCAUUUUGAACCUCUGCUGCUUUUUUUAAUUAUUCAGUUUUGAUUGCAACUACAAGCCAAAAUCAACACUCCUAAUAAUGGAGCUCAGAGUCUUCUGGUGAAAUAGAAAAACUCCAAAGUAUUUGGAACCUGACCUUACAACCCUGAAAUUUAACAGGAAAACUUAUUAACAAGAAAACCUUUGGGGUCACAGAUUGGGUGCUAAUGUAUUCAUAGCCUCCAACCAUAAGAAUAAUAAGGUUACAGUGAGAACAGUUGGGGUUUUGAGAAAUACAGUGAGCAAAAGCCAGUGUUUACCAAAGCGGCAACCAGUUCCAAAAACCAUCCCACUAUGCAGCCUAGCUUAAAGCAACUGUGUGUCACAAAAUGAAACAAGGCCUGAGUCUUUCUAGAAGAGUGAAUGUCUUUGAAAAAUAUAAGGCUAAAUUCUAACUCACUGAUAACUGUCUCUCAUAUAAAAUAUAACUUGACAGUUUUGUUUUUCAUUUAUAAGUACUGGAGGAUCAAUUUGUGGUACCUUCUAGGUACCACAGAGUCUCACAGAGUAAAGAAAGUACAGUUUGAGCUUGCAAAUGGUUAUAAGAACAUAUCUGAGCACUCAAGUAGAUACCAAGUUAAUUUUUUUUUUUCUGCUGAAUAAUAUGUUUCACUUCACAGUCACUCUGUAGGGAUGAGCUUCAUCUUAAAAAGAAAACAAAAAUCAACAAAGCAAAAAAUUAAAAAAAAAAAGUAAAAUAGAACUGGAAGUGACCUCUAUUGUACCUUUAAUUUUUCUCCCCACUGAGUUUCUCCCAAGUCAUAUGUGACACAGUUUUUGCUCAAGUAUCCCGUAACAUUCCACAGCUUGUGCUAUGGUUUUCCUGUCUUUGCUCUCAUAACAUUAUUCCUAUCUUUCAGCAGAAAGUCUUGUAUGUUCCUAUUAAAUCCUGUUAUCUCUUGUUCUACCAACUGAACAUGAAGAGAACAGUUUCCUCUCCCCCCUAAGUUGUACAAGUCUGUUAUAUUUCCCUCCAAUAUUCUCCUUUCUCUGUUUAACAUUCCCCAUUUUCUCAAGCCUUUCCACUUCAGACAUGUUUUCUACUCCUCCUUGUUCUGUUUUCAGUAAUGUCUCCAGCUGAACCACAUCUUUCUCAGAAGUUAGUUCCCAAAACUGGAUGUAAUACUCCCAGUGAGCCUUUAACUCAAAACUUAGAAGAUAAUUUCACAUUAUCUACAAACAAUACACUUAUGUAACUAUCCUAUUAUCUCAUAGCAAAAUCCCAUUUUUUAAUCUAGUUCAAUUUGUGAUUCACUUAGACCCAAAAUUCCUGUAUAAGCUUCAUACCAUAAAUAUCCUCUUACUGUACUGUGUUGCGCUGUCUUACACUGCAUCUUUAACUGUUCAAACUCAUUCUAAAGUCUAAUUCUGUCUUACAGUGUGCUCCUUAAAUGAUGGCAUCACCCAAAAAUUCAUGAAAAUAUUGAAAAGUGUAACACCUGGCCAACUGGUAGUGAGGUUUUGGUAUCUAUUUUCUAAAUACAUUUUUCCAAAUAUUUUCACUCUAGUCUUAUGCUAGUUAAAUCUAUAGAAGAAACCUUAGCUAGUUCACAAAAUGUGAUAAGAGAUAGUAUCAACAAUUAUCAGGAGAAAACACUAUGUCAUUUCCUGUUUCUUUACUGUCCAUGAAGGCAGGUAUUUAGUUACAGAAAGAAAUUAGGUGAUUGACUUAAUUUGUUCUUAGCAAAUCUAUGAUUGUUGCUAACUUCUUCCUUUGUUAUAUUCCAUGUGUCUAUCAUUGCUUUGUUAUAUUCCAUGUGUCUAUCAUAUGUCUAGAGUGGACACUCUAGUUCAAACAUCAAAGGUUUCUUUGAUUUUGGUUUUAAAGAACCACUCUACAACUCUUAGUUCCUCAUGCCAUUCCUUUUCAAAGGCAGACUUCUGUUUUCUCCUUACCACUCUUCUGGAAGCCUGCCCAUGCUACAAGAAUUAUCACUGAUAUUUAUAAUAUUUCUUCUUCCAAGCUUCACGUAACAGUGAUUUUCCUAAGUCUUCAAACCUGUUUUCUCCCUGAAAGACAUCCUAUAUCUAAGUACUCUCUAGUUGGCAUACCUCUUUUUUCCUUACUGCUUCUAAGGUUAACUUUGUUAAAUUUAAGAGCACAGAUGACCAUUCUAGUGAAGACACCAAAAUCAAUCAAACAAACAAACAUAGUAUGUCAAGCUUCUCAACCUCAUCUUUUGGCAGCUUGUUAGUUAUUAAUUUAAUAGUGAAUCCAGUUUUGUCUUUGGUCUUUCUCUUGCUUCUGACAGAGUUACAGAAUGCCUUCUUGCUAAUCUUUAUGUCUCCUGUUACUUUAAUGUGGUGAUUAUUGAGAAUGUGAUUACUAACAGCAUUAAUUCUAAUAGCUGCUAUAAAACAUACAAGGUAUGUUUUAGCACCAUCGAGUGCAACUCUGGUCAGCUGGAAUGAUUAGAUGCACAGGGGUGUGCCUUGCAACAACCACCAAUGUUUAGUGGUGCACAAGGGAUGGCAGUAAGCUGGUUGCUGUAUAUGUUCACAAGAUGAAUGAGAAUUGGCAUCAUGUUAUGUGCCAAGAGGAAGCACCGUCAGACAGAUCAGAAGAGCAGUCAACACUCUGAUGUAUGCUGCAACAUAGUCUCUCUCUUUCUCCUCCAGUCAGACAUACAGGAGUUCAAAUUUAAGGCUGAAAAGCGUAAAAUUCUGCAUUCAGUGGGAUUACUGCACCUUGUGAGACAUGCCACCCUGUUGUAACUACCUGCAGCUGCCCUUGCUGUGCUGGAGCUGAAUGAGAGCACUGUUAGCCCACUUCUGCCCUAAGCUCCAGGCAGACUGAGAGAUGGACUGACUGGCUCCAUUUCUCUCAGUUCUCUUGUCAGUUUCUCUGUCUGUAAGCAAAGGAAAAUCUCCCUCCUUCAUGCUUCUCCCUUUCUCCAAGCAAUGCAAUUGGAGCUGACUUAUAGCAACUAACUCUUUGCUCUGAUUGCAUAAUAAUGAAAGGAUGGGAAACAAAGAAUAGCAACUUUUGAGAUUAAUCCCCCUUCUGUUCUCAGCUGUCAGACUUAGUUAUUCUUUCCUUUUUUCAGCUAAAUCAGGUCAUUAUACUACGAAUCUUUACUCUGAAUGAAAGAUUAAACUCAGGUAUUUUAUUUUCAUCAGGGCAUAAUAUUCAGCACAGAAUAAUUGGCUAUAGUUUCAUCUGGAUAUUUGUAUAGGGUCUCCUAUCAAAUUCCACUAAACCCUUACUGACCCCAUCCUUUUUGUUGAAUUCCUUAGGUUCUUACUGUAGAAGAGUCCUGGCAAACAGGCUUUUGCACUCAAUUAUACCUAUCUCCACAUCUGAGAUGUCAUGUUUUCACGAAGCCUCUUUAAACAAUCAAGAGAAUUAAAAGGUCUUCAGGGCUGCUUUGUAAUAAAAAUAGUAAUAGCAAAGAAAAAAUCCAUAACCCAAGUGUUUGUCCUUGACAUAGUCAUUAUUUUCUCCACAAUGAGAAAAGAAAGAGGAAGAAAAAAAAAAAAAAAGAAGCAGGAAAUAAGAAAAGGC